CCUACGGGUGGCUGCAGUGGGGAAUAUUGCACAAUGGGCGCAAGCCUGAUGCAGCCAUGCCGCGUGUGUGAAGAAGGCCUUCGGGUUGUAAAGCACUUUCAGCGGGGAGGAAGGGGGUGAGGUUAAUAACCUCAUCGAUUGACGUUACCCGCAGAAGAAGCACCGGCUAACUCCGUGCCAGCAGCCGCGGUAAUACGGAGGGUGCAAGCGUUAAUCGGAAUUACUGGGCGUAAAGCGCACGCAGGCGGUCUGUCAAGUCGGAUGUGAAAUCCCCGGGCUCAACCUGGGAACUGCAUUCGAAACUGGCAGGCUAGAGUCUUGUAGAGGGGGAUAGAAUUCCAGGUGUAGCGGUGAAAUGCGUAGAGAUCUGGAGGAAUACCGGUGGCGAAGGCGGCCCCCUGGACAAAGACUGACGCUCAGGUGCGAAAGCGUGGGGAGCAAACAGGAUUAGAUACCCCUGUAGUC
rnacentral:rRNA from 1 species